rnacentral:tRNA from 1 species
ACCUGGCUGGCUCAGCUGGUAGAGCAUGUGACUCUUGAUCUUGAGGUCAUGAGUUUGAGCCUCAUGUUGGGUG